rnacentral:lncRNA from 1 species
CUAAGUGAUCCCUGUGCUUUUCAACACUCCAAUUCAGGGGGGAAUGUAUUAUUAUUAUCUUAAAUUGCAAAUUUUAAAUUCUUUUUUAGAGUAAUUUUAGGUUAAGAAACAUGCUACCUCUCCAAAUCCAGAAAAUGAACUCUUCUUAGAAGGCACCCUGAAGAUGCCUCCACAGACCACAAGCUACAUCAAGAAGAUCUAGAAUGAACUUUGGGUGUGGUUGAUUGAACAUUUAAUUUGAAUGUAUACUCUUAUGCCAAAAGGGGACUGCCCCCUAACUGGCUUUUUGUCAAUGCACCUAGCAAUUAUUGGUUUUGUUCUCUUUUCCUUUUAUCCUCAAAUUAUUGCAAUUUCAAAGUUGAUAUAUUUACAAGACCCACUAGAGAGACUAGUCUUCCGCAGGCCUCAGAAGGGAAUGUAUGAUUGAAAAUCUGUUACCCUAAAAAAGAACUACAUAUCUCAAGAGUCCACUGAAGUCCUGUCAUUACAUACUUCCUGUAGACAGAGGAUAAAGGGCUUGGGCUUUGGAGGCUCCCAACAUUCAUGGUGGUGAGUGGGGUUGACUAAAAUAUGGCUAACCAGCCAUGGGCAUGUGGUCUUUAUUUUGUAUCUUCUUUAUUCCUUGAUUUCUAGUGAUCAUUAAUAAAUCUCUUAAAAUAUAUUAUUAUUGAGAUUUAAUUUUAACUUUUACACUUCCUUCUUUCCUUCCUUCCUUUCUCUUUCUUUCUUUCUUUCUUUCUUUCUUUCUUUUUUCCUUCCUUCCUUCCUUCCUUCCUUCCUUCCUUUCUUUCUUUCUUUCUUUCUUUCUUUCUUUCUUUCUUUCUUUCUUUCUUUCUUUCUUUCUUUCUUUCUUUCUUUCUUUCUUUCUUUCUUUCUUUCUUUCUUUCUUCCUUCCUUCCUUCCUUCCUUCCUUCCUUCCUUCCUUCCUUCCUUUCCCUCUUUCUUAUCCUCUCUCCCUCCCUCCUCCUCUCCCUCUUUUCACUUUCUCCUCUCCCUCUUCCCUCCCUCCUUUGUCUUUCCCUCUCACACCACACACACAUCCCUACACAAUCUAUGCUUUUCUAUAGUCUUGGGAUAA